UCUGAGUUAUGGCAAACGACUUGUAUUAAUGAUUUGAUCAAAUGGAACCAAAUGGAACCUAGUCUUUGCUAGACAGAGAGACUAAUACAGAAAGAGAGAGAGGAAGGAAGUGAGAAAGAAAGUGACAGGGAGAGGGAGAGAGAGAGAGAGGUGGGAAGAAGAGUGAAAGACAGAGAGAGAUAGAGAGAGAGAGAAACAGAAAGAGAAAGACAGCAGUGCAAAUUUACUUAGAAUUUUCAUGUGUCUUGUUUGUCUCAAGUCGUCAAUGUGAGUGAAUCUCUGUCCAUCGUGUCGAUCGUCCGUCAUCUGUUUUGUCUGUUUUCCCCACCCUUGUUUUCACUGCUUUCCCGGCUCCCCACCUCAAGAAGACAUUGGCUGUGAAGUUUAAGUUGGUUGGUCACCAGGCUGCUCAUUAUUACGCACACCUGUCACCAUUGUUACGCGCACCAGCCUCAUCAGACUCACCUGGACUUCAUCACCUGCCUGAUUACCUUCCCUAUAUAUGUCACUUCCUUUGAAUCCUUCCCCAGGCGUUAUUGACUCUGUUUCUGUUUCAUGUCUGUGUGCUUUUCUUGUUUUGUAUUAUGUUCCAUUUAUUUAUUAAAUGAUUCACUCCCUGUA